CUUCCUCAGUCACCCACUAUCAGCUGCUGUGGCCUUACGCUUCCCCUCCUCCCCAGGUGAAUUGGGGAGGAAAUGUCUGGUGCCCCCAGGGCUUCGGAGAUGGAACAAAGUCACCCCCUUUGGGAAACCUAGCCUAAGAGCCUGGAAGAAGCUCAUCAGGGACCUGGUCAAACUUUAAUGCCCAGGAGAGAUGGCCUCUGGAGCAUGGACACUGGUGGCAGAAGCAUGAAUCAUUCUGACCAUAGGCCCACAACCUCCAGACUCGAGCUUUCCGUGGCACUUUCUACAGUGAUGCCAGCUUCUCUGCUUCUGUGGGGUAUAGCUGUGUGACCCUGCAGGACAUAAACAGAAAUAGUGUGUAUGAUUUCGGGGAGCUGUCAUUAAAAGGAGGGACCAUACCCUUCUUUUCUCCUUUCUGCUUCCAGCUGGUUGAAAUGCAGAGGUAAUGGUUAGAACUUCAACAACUACUCUGGACGAUGAAGUAACCUUGGAAAUGGAGUCCAGAUGGGUGAAGCAACAAGAAAGAAAAUACCUGGUCACUGAUGGACCUCAGCACAAAUUAAAUAUGUUCCAUAUAGUGUC